GAUGAAGAACGCAGCGAAAUGCGAUAAGUAGUGUGAAUUGCAGAAUUCAGUGAAUCAUCGAAUCUUUGAACGCACAUUGCGCCCCUUGGUAUUCCAUGGGGCAUGCCUGUUCGAGCGUCAUUUGUACCCUCAAGCUCUGCUUGGUGUUGGGUGUUUGUCUCGCGUUGCGCGUAGACUCGCCUUAAAGCGAUUGGCAGCCGGCAUAUUGGCCUUGGAGCGCAGCACAUUUUGCGCAUCAAACCAAGAAUGUUGGCGUCCAACAAGCCUAUACAUUUGCUCUUACCUCGGAUCAGGUAGGGAUACCCGCUGAACUUAAGCAUAUCAAUAAGCGGAGGA
rnacentral:misc_RNA from 1 species